UUGAGAAAGUAAUCGAUAUAUAAUAGUAGGAUGCUAUUUUGUCCAAAAUCAUAUAUGAACAAUUUAGGUACUGCUGAAAAUUUGCUAUCGUUGUUUGUUCAAAACUUUUCUACAAUUUUCGGAAAUUACAGUUUGACAUACAACGUACACAAUUUAGUUCACAUAACAGAAAGCUUAAAAUCAAUAGGUUCAUUUUCAAGCUUUUCGGCGUAAGAUUUCGAAAAUUAUCUACAGACUCUGAAAAACUAUGUUAAAAAACCGACUCACAUACUCCAACAACUAGUAAAUCAAAUAGCAGAAGAACGCUUGCUCAGAAAAGAUAAACCCAAUGGGUUUAAAGAAUUAAAAAUCAAAGGUUUAUGUUUUUAUUUCCAGGAUUGUAUAUUGUGUUCAAAACAACCUGACAGCUAUUGCCUUAUUAAUCCUUAUGAACCAAUAGAAAUUCAAAGAUUUUCUGAAGACAAAAAAUUUGUUAUAGGGAAAAAAAUUACAAAUUGAAGAAGCUUUUUUUUGUGAACCGGUCGAUUCGUUUACAUUGGGUAUAUGUACAGCUGAUUGCUCAUUAGAUAGUACGUAAGUUUAUUAUCCUAUAGAAAAAAUAGAAUGUAAGUUAAUGGGUCUUCGUUAUGAUGACAGUAUGCUACUUCUGCCACUUUUGCAUGGGUGCUAUUAAUUAAUCUGUAAAUAACAAAAUCUGUAAAUAAAUAAAUUUGUAAAUCUGUAAAUAAAUCACACUUUUUAACAACUUUUCAAAAAAGUCAACGCGGUUGAAAUACGCAAUGUCAAAGAAAAUCAAGAGAAUAGUUUUAGCAGAUUCGGAAAACAUAGCAACACCGUAUAAGAAACCAGUUCCAGCAUGCGAGAGUUGUACAUCCUUAGUGGAGGGACUGAAAACUUUGCAAGAAACCGUGGAAAAUUUAAAAAAAGAAUUUAAUUGUAAGAAUUUUUUCAUAUUUUAUAAACCGUAUCUACUCAAAAUGAUGCUGUGAUGUCUGCACUUGCUCAUCAAAAGAUUCUAUUGGAAAAGUUAGUACGGCAAGACAACGUACUUAUUUCGGUAAAGCAAUAUUUUCCAAUAAAAAACACUGAGGGCCUACAGACAAUUGAAUCAAAAACUGUUCCCGAAAACACCCAUUUGUUUAUUACCACUAUGAGGACAUUAUUUAACCAUUCGGUGAUGAAAAAUUUAACCUAUGUGUUGACAACCGAAAUAAUAAUGGCAUAUAAUAUUUUACUCAGCCUUGUUGGAAUCGAUAAAUAGCAUAACGAGUUGUGAUGAGCCUGAUGUGCAACUCAGGAAGGCAAUGCAGCUGCACAAGAAGCGAGAGUUCCAAAAACGAAGUUCAGACAAAGCUGCGCAAUCAACAAGCCAAACUACAGAUUACAAUUAAGAAUAUUUAGCAAGUAAAUGAAUUUAGUUUGAUUUAAUCAAAACUUUUAUUUUUAUUUAAGUUUAUUCAAAAAUUAACUAUAGUGUUUAUUUUAUU